rnacentral:lncRNA from 1 species
CUGACCUUGAAAUACCCACCUUUUCCACAGACCUCGGACUUGGAGGAAGCUGAAGCAGAGAUAACCUCUCUGAAUUCCUAAUGAAGUCUGAGAUGGCAGAGUUCUAAAAGCAGAAGAUGAGACCGGGUCCAGGACUCAGGUUGCCUGAAGGGGAGAGUGGGCCCCUUUUUUGAGAGGGGCUGAAGAGAAGACAGCUGGAGGGACCUGCAAAUGCUUGAGAGAUGAAUGCUGCUGCAGAAUUACCAGUGAGGAGGUCUAGGAGGCCUACGCGUCAACAGAGUUCAGAGUGCAGUGGUGAAGGUGACUCAAGCAGCUCAUGGACUUGACUGGUUCUGGAGGUAAGUGCAUUCAGAAGGGGACAAAGGAGGCCCGUAUUAGGUCAGGAGAGAAUGGGACU